GACACCGCCAAAGAUCACUUUAUUGCAACGAUGUCGAUCGAUUACAGAAGAUGCAAACGUGCAUCCAAGAACUCUCCAAGAAUAGCUCUAGGUUAAAACUCUGAGUUCCCUCACGUUUUCUCCACCUAAACCGUGGCCUGGACCCCUCUAUUUAUAGAACUAGGCAACACCUAAAAAGAGUCCAUAUCAAAAACGAAACUGACGUCCGAGCUGGCUGCGCUGGACCGAACGCUCAGCACCAGACACGGAAACGAGCUGUGUCUGCUCUCGUGCGUGAGCGCUCACCUCGUUUGCUGCAUGGGCCACGCUGGGCCUGCUCCUCCUGGCAUUUAGCCUAUGUACGCUCAGCUGCAGACACAUGCAACGAGCAAAAUCUGCUCUUGCGCGUGAGCCUGGCUGACGGCCUCCGUCGCGCACGCCGCCUUCCAUCGAUCCGCACGCCUGCCACACGGGCGGCCCGCGCUGGACUGGGCCGCACCCGCUCGACUCGCCCGAUCGAUCUGCUGCCGCUGCCGUGCGCGCAAACACAUGUGCACACCUUGCACCUCGUGACGUCUUCAGUACCGUACAUCUCCGGUACAAGCCAUGUACGACAAACCGGUGCCCUCCCGGAUCAUCGUAGCCUUCACUUCCAUUGUUCCUUCGCACGAACGCCCCGCAUGACCAUGAUCCCCAGACCUCAGCUUCUCCCAAGCUUCGUCCCUCGAUCCUGUCAUCGACCACGUUCCUCCAGCUUUGGCAACACCUGAAAGUGAACACAACAAAUAACCAGAACGAGCACAAGUCCACGACUUGACUCAGGGUAAGUUUCACACAACUCACGCCAUAUUUUCACACAAGAAACUAAUGGAUCAGCACACCAUUAGCAAAGUAUUCAGCCCAAUACAAGUAUCCAUAUCACGUCACACAAGUAUCCAUAUCACCCGAAAUAUCCAUAUCAAUGUUUUACUUAGCACUUGCCAAUGUUGCACAUCACACAUGACUUCACAAUCUCCCCCUUGAUGAAAACAUUGGCAACAUCACAUAAACACCAAACAUUGAUUGGCAUACACAUUCACUUAACUUUCAGAUUUUCAAGGUUUUGAAAAGAAAAAAGUGAAAAAGCUGAAGAUCAACAAAAGAUCCAAAAAUAAGAACACAAAAGAAAAAUUGUGUAAAAAUGUGGUGUGAAUAUGUGGUGGAAAUCUCUCCCCCUUUGACAAUGAAUUUCAUCAAAACCACAAAACAAACUCUCCCUCUAAAAAGAAAUUCUAGAAGCUAGAAAAGGAAAAAUAUUUUUUUAUGUUUCAAUUUUUUUGUUGUAAUGAGCAUUAUAAGACAUCAUGAAAAUGACAAUUCUACGUCCAAGUCAUGCAAAAAGUAGUUGUACUCGACAUGUAUACAAGUAUAAUGCAAUCCACACAUGACCAAGAAUCAAGUAUUGUUACGAUUUAUUGCAAGGCAUGGUCUUCCUUUAUCAACUAUGCCAAUACUUGAAUACACAAUCACUUGAGCAAGUUAUAUUAAUAGCAUUUAAAAAAAAUGAAACUUAAUUUCCAAAGAAGUUGUAUGCCAUGUCAAUUCAACCUUGCCAAGCCUAUAUUCAAAGUACCAUGCCAAGCCUAUGUUUAAAGUACAAUAACAAUCAGAAGCUUAAGACAAUGGUAGGCAAUCAGAAGCUUAAGACAAAAGUUUCAAGAACAACAACAACUUCCAAGUUCAUACCAAAGUGCAAUGGUAAGCAGUCUCGUGAAGAUGCAAUGUGACAUUGGCAUAUCUUUUAUAAAACUUUGCUUGACACCACGUGUCAUUUGCACAUAUUUAAUCUUGAUACUUUAAUAGAUUCAUCAUUGAUAGUAAUUGAGUAACCAAGACCAACACAGCUAACAAAGUUUAACCAUGACAAGAUUUAGUUCAAGUUAUCAUUCGUAUUAGAAAGUCAGGUGAUAAACUACCUUACACGAGCAUACAUAUAAAAUGACAAUUUCCUCAAAGCAUAAACAUGAUUGCAAAAUGUCAUUCCAGGAUAAAAUACAAUGCUCAUUACUUUUUCAGAUUUUUUUUUUGUUUUCAUUUAUCGAAGAAAAAAAACUGAAAAAGAAGCAACAUGAAAAUACCAAUUAUAACUAGAAACACACAAGUGAAAAAGUAUUUUACAUAUGUUACAAAAAGACUCAACUCCCCCUCAAACCAUCCCGUAUGGUUUGAUUACUCCAAGUUCACCUCGAAGAAAAGCAAAUCGAGAAGAAUCCAAUGGUUUAGUGAAAAUGUCUGCCAAUUGACGUUCAGUAUCUAUAAAAUGUAGCACAACAUUUCUUUUUUCAACAUGAUCUCUAAGAAAAUGAUAUCUUAUGUCUAUGUGCUUAGUUCGAGAAUGUUGCACAGGGUUUUUAGCAAUACAUAUAGCACUAGUGUUAUCACAAUAAAGUGGUACACUUUCUAGAGUAACCCCAUAAUCUUUCAUUGUAGCUAUUAUCCAUAAAAUCUGUGAGCAACAACCAGCAGCAGCUACAUAUUCACUUUCAGCAGUAGAUUGUGCAACAAAACUUUGUUUCUUAGAAGACCAAAGUACUAAUGAAUCACCCAAAAAUAAGCAUGUGCCAGAUGUACUCUUUCUAUCAAUUCUACAACCUCCAAAAUCAGCGUCCGAAAAUGCACGCAAUGAAAUACUCGAGGAAGCGGAAAGCCAAAUGCCAAAAGAUUGGGUGCCAUGUAGAUACCUGAAGAUCCGCUUGACAGCUUGUAGAUGUGAUGCACGUGGAGAAGCUUGAAACCGUGCACACAAGCAUACAGAAAAUUGUAUAUCCGGUCUAGAAGCGGCGAGAUAAAGAAGUGAACCAAUCAUACUCCUAUACAUCUUUUGGUCAACAGUUUCACCUUCCUCAUCAAGAUCAAGUGACGCCGUAGAUCCCAUUGGUGUCAUAAUAGGGUUGAGGUUUUCCAUCCCAAAGCGCCGUAGAAGAUCCUUCGUAUACUUACUUUGAUGCACAAAGGUGCCAUCCUUUGUUUGUUUGAUUUGCAGUCCCAAAAAGUAAGUAAGUUCACCCAUCAUGCUCAUUUCAAAUUCCCUGCUCAUAGUUUCUGAAAAUUCUGACACCAAAGCAUGAGAAGCACACCCAAAGAUAAUAUCAUCAACAUAAACUUGUACGAAAAGUUGAUCAUUGCCAUGUUUGAGUACAAAGAGUGUUUUAUCAACGUUUCCCAUGGUAAACCCCUUUCCAAUUAAAAACGUUUUCAACCUAUCAUACCAUGAACGUGGGGCUUGUUUUAAACCAUACAAAGCUUUUGAAAGUUUAUAAACAUGGUUGGGAAACUUUGGAUUCUCGAAACCAGGUGGUUGCUUAACAUAAACCUCCUCAUCAAUAAAGCCAUUAAGAAAAGCACUUUUAACAUCCAUUUGAUAAAGCUUAAAACCUUUAGAUGCAGCAAAAGUCAAUAAAAUUCUUAUAGCUUCCAAUCUAGCAACAGGAGCAAAAGUUUCAUCAAAAUCAAGACCUUCAACUUGAGUAAAACCCUGAGCAACCAACCUAGCCUUGUUGCGAACAAUAACACCAUCCUCACUUUGUUUGUUUUUGAAAACCCAACGAGUUCCAAUAAGAGUAUGACCAGAAGGAGGUGAAACAAGAGUCCAAACUUUGUUACGCUCAAAAUUUUCUAAUUCCUCAUGCAUGGCAUUGAUCCAUGAUUCAUCAGUUAAUGCAUGAGAUAUAUCUUUGGGCUCAAAAGAAGCAACAAAUGCUGAAUGAGUAUGAUAGUCAGAAUCGAUAAACCUUGACCGUGUGACUCUCUCAUCCAUGCUUCCAAUAAUCUGCUCAGGAGGGUGCCUUUUCUGAAUAUGUCGGGGUGCUGAAAUAUUUGACUCAGCAGCAUGCUCAUCCCCAACAUUUGUAGUUGAAGUAGUCUCUUGAGGAUGUCCAGUUGUAGCAGCAGUAGUUGUAGGUGUAGGAACAGCUGGAGUUUGCGCAUGGACAGCAGGGGGCACGCCAUCCUCCUCGUCAUCUUCAUCAUCUACAAAGAUUUCCUCCCCCUGAACAUAUGUUCCUACAUCAGAAAUGCGAGGACUAGAGCCAGAACUAGCCUCAUCAAAAGUCACUUCACUGGUUUCCAUUAUUCGGUUAGUCUCAUAAACAUAAACACGGUAACCACGUGAAUGAGUAGGAUAUCCAAGGAAAAUGCCAUCAUAUGAUCUAGAUUCAAACUUAUCUAGAUUGCCAGAUUUAAGCACAAAGCAUUUACAACCAAAAACUCUUAGGUGAGAUACAAUAGGUUUACGCCCAAAUCAUAGUUCAUAUGGUGUUUUGCCAAUUUUAGAUCUCAAGAACACACGAUUUGAAACAUAACAAGCAGUAGAUAUAGCUUCAGCCCAAAACUUUCUAGGAGUAGAAAAUUCAUCAAGCAUAGUACGGGCCAUCUCAACUAGAGUUCUAUUCUUACGCUCCACUACACCAUUUUGUUGUGGUACAUAAGGUGAAGAAAAUUGAUGCUCAAUGACAAAUUCAUCACAAAAGUGAUUAAAAUAUGAAUUCUUAAAUUCAGUUCCAUUAUCACUUCUUAUUGUUUUCAAAGAUCCUGGGUGCUCAACACUUAGUCUAUGCACAAGACUCUUAAAGUGACUAAAAGCCUCAUCCUUAGAUGCCAUAAAAUAAACCCAAGAAUAUCUUGAAUAAUCAUCAACAAUCACCAAAACAUACCACUUACCCCCAAAAGAUUGUACCCUUGAUGGACCAACCGUAUCAAGAUGUAGAAGCUGUCCUGGAGCGUUAGUCAUGACACUGGUAAUGCGUGCAUGUGAACCUGCAACCAUCUUACCAUGUCUACAAGGAGAGCAUACAAUAUCUUUUUCUCUCUUAAGUUUAGGCAAACCAUUUAUAAGAUUCAUACCACUUAUACGAGUGAGAUGAUCAAAACCAAUAUGCCCAAGUCUACGAUGCCAAAAGAAUAAAUCUGUAGAUGUAUUGGCAACUAGACACCUAAACUUAACAUUUGAAGAAGCAUGAAAAUCAGCCUUAAAAACUCUCCCAAAGCGUGAUAUCUCAAAGACAAGAUCACCUGAAGCAUCUAAAACUUUGCAAGCAUUUUUCUUAAAUGAAACUUCAAGAUCCUCAUCAAUCAUUUGUGAAACCGACAACACGUUGUAUUUCAGAUUCUCAACCAAAGCAACAUCUUUGAACAUAAAUUUGUCGGUUACCUUUACUGUACCUUUCGCUACAACAGUAGAAGUAGAAGCAUCUCCAAAAGUUACACUCUCAGCCCGAGAUGCACGUGUGAGGGAGGAGAACCAUUUUUUAUCACCGGUCAUGUGACGAGAACAACCGGAGUCCACUAGCCAUAUGUUCUCCUUCCUCGCGCGAAGUGCCUACAAACAACAAACACAAGCCGAGGUCUCAGUACUGGGUUUAGAUAAAAAACUUUUGGGUAUCCAGUACUGAGACAUGCGGCGAGAAGGCAUUGCACGAGUUUCUUUAUACAUUGGGACAUAUUUUACAUGUCUCAUGCAGGCAGUAGUAGAAGGUGAAACAUUCACCUUAGGCACAAACUUCGGAGCAACAGAAUUAUGUUGAACAUAAUGUGCCUUGAAGAAAUUAGAUCUAGCUUGCUUUCUUUCUUUCUUAAUAAGUUUAGCUAGUCUAAAACAGGAACCUACAACAUGUCCAGAUUUACCACAAAAAGUGCAUUUGUACCUACAUUCAGGUUUAUCAUGUGGUGUAUCAGCUACAUUUGCACUAGGUGAAAGAGCAUUAGACAUAAUGUCGGCAGAUUUAAAAAUCACAUUGGUUGGCUUAUCAGAUGUUCCAAAAAUUCCAUUGCCAAGUGAUUUAACAAUAGUGGGAGGAUUAGCCUUGAAGUGAGCAUGAGCAUUGAAACCAAGUCCUGUCUUAUUUUUACUCACUUUAGACUUAUCUAAGAUCAUAUUCAGAUUUUUAUGCCUGCUAGAAAACUUUUGCAAAGAAGCUUGUAGAUAAUUAACUUGAUGAGACAAAGCAAGACAAUUAUCACAAGCAGCAUCCAUGGCUUGUUUCCCAUUUUUACAAUUAGCACACGACAAAACCUCAUGGAUAUGUAAAGCAUUUUCAACAUGAGAAACCCUAGCAUUUGCAUCUUUCAACUUCAAUUCAAGAAUAUGACAAUUAUUACAAGAAGUUGAAUCUGUCAAAUCAGAAGUAUCCACGCUAACAUUAUUAAUUUCUUGACGUUUAUGCACAACAAGCUUCUCAUUGUUUUCUAAUGCAGUUCUAAGCUUAUCAAGAGUAUCAUCAUGAAUAAAACGCAAAGAUGUAAGCUCAGAAUAGAUAGAAUUACAAGACUUGCAAGAAUCAUCAUCAGGAAUCAUAGAUUUAAGUCUAGUAAUUUCAGAAUUCAGAGAUGCAAUUUUCAAGUCAUAUUUCUUAAUUCUUUUAGUGGCAUGAUCUAGUAAGGAGCUCAGUUUGCUGGCACUUUCAAGUAAUUCAUCAUAAGAAAGUUCUACCUCAUUGUUGUUGUCGCUGUCGUAGUCGUCGCAGGAGGUAGCACUUUUGCUACCAGCCAUAAGACACAUCCCACUAAUGUCGCUCUUGGCUUUGGUUGCAUCAUCUUCAUCGGAUUCGAUGUCCACAUCACUCAAGCAUGGUUCACCAUAUUCAUUGAUGACCGAGAAAAUACUGUGAGCCACCGCUCGAGCAAAGUCACCCCUCUUCUUAUUCUUAAUGUUGAAAGUGCGCUUAUUCUUCUUUUCCUCCUUGACAUAAUUAUCCCUAUCCCCUUCUUUCGCCAUCUUGGAUAAAAACUUGGGGCAGCUUUGGCGAAAGUGGUUGGGAUCACCACAUUCAAAACACCUUGGAAUGUUGUUCCCACCUCUCUUCCUCGAGCGAACAUUUUGUAGGGCACGUGAAAAACGAGAAGUGAGGAGUGCCAACUCUUCUUCUGGACAUUGCUCUAGCUGUUCAUCGGUUAGUUGAGACAAAGAAGACAGUGCAUAGCAAUGCGAAUAAAUACCAUCAUUAGAGUUGCUAGGGUUAGUAACAAGAGCAAUUGAUUUAGAACCAGUUCUCCUAGCAAGAAUAUCUAAUUCAUGAGUUUUCAGUUUUGAAUAUAAGAUAUCAAGUGUAAGUGUGCUCAUGACAGUAGACUCUCUAAUAGAUGUAACUUUCAUCUCCCAGAUGGACAUAUCUAAAGCACUCAAAAGCUGCCUAGAAGUCUCAGCAUCAGUAUAGGUAACACCUAAUGCACGUAGAUUGCUGAGAAUCUUAUUAAAGCGAGCAAAAAAUUCAUCCAAAGAUUCACCUGUUUUCAUCUCAAACCUCAUGUACUCCUUUUUAUACAUGUCCUGACGCACUUCCUUAACUGAGUUUGAUCCUUCAUGAUAGCUACAAAGUGUGUUCCAUACCUCAUGAGCGGAUGCAAGGUGAGAGACACGGUCGAAGUCACUCCGUUGUAGACCUUGGAUGAUGAAGUUCCUCGCCUUGUAGUUGUUCUCCACAUGAACCAAGUUUGCUGGCGUAAUUGCAUCGUCUGCGGGAAGCACGUAGGGCUUGGCGACUUUCUCCCAGAUGGCGUAACUUUGCGCCAUGAUGUAUGCCUUCAUCUUCGCCUUCCAGAACUGAAAAUCAACACCAUCGAAAAUACAGGGUUUGGUAGAAUACCUAUCCAUGUCUAGCAAUUCUAAUCAACCGGUUAAGAUAAAUUAGAAAAACCUUGCUCUGAUACCAAUUGAGGGAUCGAGAUAGGCAAUCAGAGGGGGGGUGAAUGAUUGCGCGGAAGCAAAUUACAACUUUUCCCAAAUUUCAAACCCUGAAACUCUAAUCUGUUCGUGAUGGUAAAACAGUUGUAUAUCAAGAUCUGCUGAACCAAAAAUUGCGUAUGAAUACUCCAAUUAAAGCUACGGAAAUUAUCUAAUCAACGCAACAAGAAUCAGCUUAAUCGGAGUUACCAAUCAAAAGUUAUGAUCAGGACAGUAACAGAUGACAGAAGACUGCGAAAAUCAAUCUAGAUCUAAUUUCGAGAAUUAGCAAGAAAGAUAGAUUAAUUGCACCACAAACUUCCCUCGAUCUCGUGAAAAAACCUGCAGCAAAGUAUUAGAGAAAUCUAACACGAAAAUUUCACCGAGAUUAGAGAAGCUGAGAGAUGACACCGCCAAAGAUCACUUUAUUGCAACGAUGUCGAUCGAUUACAGAAGAUGCAAACGUGCAUCCAAGAACUCUCCAAGAAUAGCUCUAGGUUAAAACUCUGAGUUCCCUCACGUUUUCUCCACCUAAACCGUGGCCUGGACCCCUCUAUUUAUAGAACUAGGCAACACCUAAAAAGAGUCCAUAUCAAAAACGAAACUGACGUCCGAGCUGGCUGCGCUGGACCGAACGCUCAGCACCAGACACGGAAACGAGCUGUGUCUGCUCUCGUGCGUGAGCGCUCACCUCGUUUGCUGCAUGGGCCACGCUGGGCCUGCUCCUCCUGGCAUUUAGCCUAUGUACGCUCAGCUGCAGACACAUGCAACGAGCAAAAUCUGCUCUUGCGCGUGAGCCUGGCUGACGGCCUCCGUCGCGCACGCCGCCUUCCAUCGAUCCGCACGCCUGCCACACGGGCGGCCCGCGCUGGACUGGGCCGCACCCGCUCGACUCGCCCGAUCGAUCUGCUGCCGCUGCCGUGCGCGCAAACACAUGUGCACACCUUGCACCUCGUGACGUCUUCAGUACCGUACAUCUCCGGUACAAGCCAUGUACGACAAACCGGUGCCCUCCCGGAUCAUCGUAGCCUUCACUUCCAUUGUUCCUUCGCACGAACGCCCCGCAUGACCAUGAUCCCCAGACCUCAGCUUCUCCCAAGCUUCGUCCCUCGAUCCUGUCAUCGACCACGUUCCUCCAGCUUUGGCAACACCUGAAAGUGAACACAACAAAUAACCAGAACGAGCACAAGUCCACGACUUGACUCAGGGUAAGUUUCACACAACUCACGCCAUAUUUUCACACAAGAAACUAAUGGAUCAGCACACCAUUAGCAAAGUAUUCAGCCCAAUACAAGUAUCCAUAUCACGUCACACAAGUAUCCAUAUCACCC
rnacentral:lncRNA from 1 species